rnacentral:rRNA from 1 species
AAUCACUGGGCUUAAAGGGUGCUUAGNCGGCUUGGUAAGUUGAGUGUGAAAUCCCUCGGCUCAACCGAGGAAUGGCGCUCAAAACUAUCCGGCUUGAGGAAGNCAGAGGUAAGCGGAACUAAUGGUGGAGCGGUGAAAUGCGUUGAUAUCAUUAGGAACACCUGAGGCGAAAGCGGCUUACUGGGCCUUUUCUGACGCUGAGGCACGAAAGUUAGGGGAGCCAACGGGAUUAGAUACCCCGGUAGUCCUAGCUGUAAACGAUGAGCACUGGAUUGAGGGGACUUCCACAUCUUCUCGGUCGUAGCGAAAGUGUUAAGUGCUCCGCCUGGGGAGUAUGGUUGCAAGGCUGAAACUCAAAGGAAUUGACGGGGGCUCACACAAGCGGUGGAGGAUGUGGCUUAAUUCGAGGCUACGCGAAGAACCUUAUCCUGGUCUUGACAUGCUUGAGAAUCCUCUCGAAAGAGAGGAGUGCCUUUCGGGGAGCUCUUGCGCAGGUGCUGCAUGGCUGUCGUCAGUUCGUGUCGUGAGAUGUCGGGUUAAGUCCCUAAACGAGCGAAACCCUUAUCCCUAGUUGCCAGCGGGUCAUGCCGGGGACUCUAGGGAGACUGCUGGUGUUAAACCGGAGGAAGGUGGGGAUGACGUCAAGUCCUCAUGGCCUUUAUGAUCAGGGCUGCACACGUCCUACAAUGGAUCGUACAACGGGAAGCGAUCUCGCGAGAGCAAGCAAAUCCCUAAAAGCGGUCCUCAGUUCGGAUUGCAGGCUGCAACUCGCCUGCAUGAAGCUGGAAUCGCUAGUAAUCGCGGGUCAGCAUACCGCGGUGAAUGUGUUCCUGAGCCUUGUACACACCGCCCGUCAAGCCACGAAAGUGGGGGGUCGAUGUAGUCGCCGAGCUAACCCGAAAGGGAGGCAAGCGCCGAAUCGA